AUUGAACGCUGGCGGCAUGCCUUACACAUGCAAGUCGAACGGUAACAGGUCUUCGGAUGCUGACGAGUGGCGAACGGGUGAGUAAUACAUCGGAACGUGCCCGAUCGUGGGGGAUAACGAAGCGAAAGCUUUGCUAAUACCGCAUACGAUCUACGGAUGAAAGCAGGGGACCGCAAGGCCUUGCGCGAACGGAGCGGCCGAUGGCAGAUUAGGUAGUUGGUGGGAUAAAAGCUUACCAAGCCGACGAUCUGUAGCUGGUCUGAGAGGACGACCAGCCACACUGGGACUGAGGCACGGCCCAGACUCCUACGGGAGGCAGCAGUGGGGAAUUUUGGACAAUGGGCGAAAGCCUGAUCCAGCCAUGCCGCGUGCAGGAUGAAGGCCUUCGGGUUGUAAACUGCUUUUGUACGGAACGAAAAGACUCUGGUUAAUACCUGGGGUCCAUGACGGUACCGUAAGAAUAAGCACCGACUAACUACGUGCCAGCCGCCGCCGUAAGAC
rnacentral:rRNA from 1 species